CUGUGCGGCCCUGAGCUCACCUGUUCCCAUCUUGCCCUGGCCUGGAUUUGGAGACGCCGGGAAGUGACGCACUGGGACUGCUGGUCCCUGGCCCGGGACUCCAGGGUGUGGGUUGGGCGACGGCCUCCACCCUGCUGCUCUUGCCACUGGGUCCCAACACCAGUAGUCGCUCAGGUACCGAACGAAAAGCCCUCGGAAGAAGUCUAUGAGCAGGAUGCUGGCCACCGUGAAGAGCAUGUCGAUGAUGGAAAGCUUCAGCAUCUCCUGAAACACAGGGUCCUCUACGCCUCCGCGUCCUGCCCUCCACUGCCCACCUCUUCCUUCCUUCCCCCGUCUCUGUUCAUGCCCAUGGGCUUGAACCAUUGGGCCUCUCCAACGGCACGUAAUGGAUGCUCACUUGGCAGAUGGCCACUCAACUCAAGUCUGCCCCGAUAAUGAACACAGAGCUGUGAUGGACACUAUUCAUCCGUCCCUAGUCCGCAUGGUGUCUGGGAAUCUUACAGCCUCCCCGGCGAUUGCACUGCAGCCCGUCCUCAACCAGCACUUAAGAAGCACAGUGUAGUGGGAAGAGAGCUCUGAGGUGUCCCGUCAAUUGUACGUGUCUCUGUGU